GAUAAACGCUGGCGGUGUGCAUAACACAUGCAAGUCGAACGAUGAAGAUUAAAAGAUUUCUUCGGAAUGAACUUAAUUGGAUUAGUGGCGGACGGGUGAGUAACGCGUGAGUAACCUGCCUUGUACAAGGGGAUAGCCGUUGGAAACGACGAAUAAUACCCUAUGACAUCAAAUAAUCGCAUGAUAAUUUGAUCAAAGAUUUAUCGGUAUAAGAUGGACUCGCGUCUGAUUAGCUAGUUGGUAGAGUAAAAGCCUACCAAGGCAACGAUCAGUAGCCGGCUUGAGAGAGUGUACGGCCACAUUGGGACUGAGACACGGCCCAGACUCCUACGGGAGGCAGCAGUGGGGAAUUUUGCACAAUGGGGGAAACCCUGAUGCAGCGACGCCGCGUGAUUUAGAAGGCCUUCGGGUUGUAAAAAUCUUUUGUAUGGGAAGAAAAUGACAGUACCAUACGAAUAAGGACCGGCUAAUUACGUG
rnacentral:rRNA from 1 species